CAUUUCCCAUUUUUCGAUAAUGAUCCUUCCGUAGGUGAACCUGCGGAAGGAUCAUUAUCGAAAAAUGGGAAAUGGGAAAGAGAGAGAGAAAUCAGGAGGGGCAUAGAGACAACCACCUUUCUACUAGAUUCGCUCGAAACCAAACGGUGGCCAUCUCUUCCCCCUUCCUUUUCUUUCUUUCUACCUUUCUAAACUCACACCUUGUGCACCUUUGUAGAUCCCCCCGCUCUCUUUCGAGGUGGUGGUAUCUAUGCUUUCAUCACAUCACACACUUUGUAUGGCCAGAACGUAUUGCGAUCACAAUUUACAACUUUCAGCAACGGAUCUCUUGGCUCUCGCAUCGAUGAAGAACGCAGCGAAUCGCGAUAAGUAAUGUGAAUUGCAGAUUUUCAGUGAAUCAUCGAAUCUUUGAACGCACAUUGCGCUCCUCGGUAUUCCGAAGAGCAUGCCUGUUUGAGUGUCAUAAAAUCAUCAACCAUUCCUUCGGGGUAUGGAUUGGACUUGGGGGUUGCUGGCGGUCGUCUUCAGCUCUCCUUAAAAGCAUUAGCGAUCGACUUGGCUAGUCUUUUGGCAUGUACGGCCUUGGACGUGAUAAAGAUCGUCCUGGCUGGAGCGUGUGACUCCCUGAGACUAUUCCAAGAAGAUUGCUUCUAAUAAAAACAAAUCGAACGGAGAAAGGGUCCAUAAAGCUUAGCUACUAGUCAGUCGAUGCUGGCGAACGCAAGCGAUGUGGUCUUGUUCUUUGAUAGCAAAGCAAGGAAAGACCUUGAAAGAUGGUGAAAUCUGGUGGAAGUGGGUCCAUGGGCCUUAGCUACUAGGCAGUCAUUCGCUUGACUGGCGAACACAAGCAACCUAGAUGGAUUCAUGAAGACCAGAGAGUGCUUGAUCUCUUGAUCUUCCUUGUUUGCGUUCGUUCGUUCGUUCAUUGACUUGACCUCAAAUCAGGUAGGACUACCCGCUGAACUUAAGCAUAUCAAUAAGCGGAGGAA
rnacentral:rRNA from 1 species